rnacentral:rRNA from 1 species
UACGUAGGGGGCUAGCGUUGUCCGGAAUCAUUGGGCGUAAAGCGCGCGUAGGCGGCCCAGUAAGUCCGUUGUAAAAGUCAAAGGCUCAACCUUUGAAAGCCGAUGGAUACUGCUGGGCUAGAGUCCGGAAGAGGCGAGUGGAAUUCCUGGUGUAGCGGUGGAAUGCGCAGAUAUCAGGAAGAACACCCGUGGCGAAGGCGGUUCUCUGGGACGGUACUGACGCUGAGACGCGAAAGCGUGGGGAGCGAACAGG